rnacentral:rRNA from 1 species
GACGAACGCUGGCGGCGUGCUUAACACAUGCAAGUCGAACGAUGAACCCGGAGCUUGCUCCGGUGGAUUAGUGGCGAACGGGUGAGUAACACGUGAGUAACCUGCCCUUGACUCUGGGAUAACUGCGGGAAACUGUAGCUAAUACCGGAUACGACCCUCGGCGGCAUCGCCAGGGGGUGGAAAGAAUUUCGGUCAAGGACGGACUCGCGGCCGAUCAGCUAGUUGGUGAGUGAACGGCUCACCAAGGCGACGACGGGUAGGCGGCCUGAGAGGGUGACCGGCCACACUGGGACUGAGACACGGACCAGACUCCUACGGGAGGCAACAGUGGGGAAUAUUGCACAAUGGGCGCAAGCCUGAUGCAGCAACGCCGCGUGAGGGAUGACGGCCUUCGGGUUGUAAACCUCUUUUAGUAGGGAAGAAGCGAAAGUGACGGUACCUGCAGAAAAAGCACCGGCUAACUACGUGCCAGCCGCCGCAGUAA